AUGUGGAAGGCAUGCAAUAGUAAAUAGUUCUAAAUUGAUGGGACCAUAGCCUAACUACAGUGCACACGUUUAGCGGCAGAAGUGUGUAGAGUAUACGAUCGAGCAGUUAGGGUUUUCGUCUAGGGCAUCGCUGCCCGGGUCUAUAAAUUUUGGAUGUGGCGGAUGUUUUAGCUGGAACCAUCAUUCAUAGCCUUCGAUGAUGGAGCCUGCAAUUUUUCACCGGUUUAUUAUUUCUAGGGUUUCGGAAGCUUUAGCUAUGGCGACAAACGAUCUUCCAUUCAAUCCUAUUAUAUCUAGGGUUCCUAUAUUUACUUUCACCAACAGUAGUGUCUAGAGCAGACUGUCGAGUAUUUAGGGCUGCGCUGUCCAGGGUUUAUGAGUUUUGGAUACAGAGGAAGCAUGGGUAGGUGAAUGCUUAACCUUUCCGUAAAGCAAAGUAGGGUUUUUAUGUGGACGGCUGACGGAGCGGACAUUAUCAAAAAAUGUCUUAGAUUGAAUAUGAAAAGUCGGAAUCUUCCAUUUUUGCUCCCUCAAAGAUUUAGUGAUGUUGCAUAAAUGUAUUACGCACCGCCUCUAGCACGCGCAUAUUCAUACAUAUAUGUUUUUGUAAAUCAGGGCCCAAGGUUUUAUUGCCAUAUAUUUUUCAUAAGGCGGCAUGUAUUAAGUCCGAGGGACACCAUGUGGAGAAAUAGGUGCUGAGGGCAAAUUUGA